AGAUUGAACGCUGGCGGCAUGCCUAACACAUGCAAGUCGAACGGGAGUAGCAAUACUCUAGUGGCGGACGGGUGAGGAAUACGUAGGAAUUUGCCCUUAAGUGGGGGAUAACCCGGGGAAACCCGGAUUAAUACCGCAUGACCUCGAAAGAGCAAAGUGGGGGAUCGCAAGACCUCACGCUUUUGGAGAAGCCUACGUCGGAUUAGCUAGUUGGUGAGGUAAUGGCUCACCAAGGCGACGAUCCGUAACUGGUCUGAGAGGAUGAUCAGUCACACCGGAACUGAGACACGGUCCGGACUCCUACGGGAGGCAGCAGUGGGGAAUAUUGGACGAUGGGCGCAAGCCUGAUCCAGCAAUGCCGCGUGUGUGAAGAAGGCCUUCGGGUUGUAAAGUC
rnacentral:rRNA from 1 species